CGGAAGGUCCGGGCGUUAUCCGGAUUUAUUGGGUUUAAAGGGAGCGCAGGCCGUCCUUUAAGCGUGCUGUGAAAUGCCGCGGCUCAACCGUGGCACUGCAGCGCGAACUGGAGGACUUGAGUACGCACGAGGUAGGCGGAAUUCGUGGUGUAGCGGUGAAAUGCUUAGAUAUCACGAAGAACUCCGAUUGCGAAGGCAGCUUACCGGAGCGCAACUGACGCUGAGGCUCGAAAGCGCGGGUAUCGAACAGGAUU
rnacentral:rRNA from 1 species